GACGAACGCUGGCGGCGUGCUUAACACAUGCAAGUCGAACGGAAAGGCCCUGCUUUUGUGGGGUGCUCGAGUGGCGAACGGGUGAGUAACACGUGAGUAACCUGCCCUUGACUUUGGGAUAACUUCAGGAAACUGGGGCUAAUACCGGAUAGGAGCUCCUGCUGCAUGGAGGGGGUUGGAAAGUUUCGGCGGUUGGGGAUGGACUCGCGGCUUAUCAGCUUGUUGGUGGGGUAGUGGCUUACCAAGGCUUUGACGGGUAGCCGGCCUGGGAGGGUGCACGGGCACAUUGGGCCUGCGAUACGCCCCAGACUCCUACGGGAGGCAGCAGUGGGGAAUAUUGCCCAAUGGGCGGAAGCCUGAUGCAGCAACGCCGCGUGCGGGAUGACGGCCUUCGGGUUGUAAACCGCUUUCGCCUGUGACGAAGCGUGAGUGACGGUAAUGGGUAAAGAAGCACCGGCUAACUACGUG
rnacentral:rRNA from 1 species